GGCGGACGGGUGAGUAACACGUGGGUAACCUGCCCAUAAGACUGGGAUAACUCCGGGAAACCGGGGCUAAUACCGGAUAACAUUUUGAACCGCAUGGUUCGAAAUUGAAAGGCGGCUUCGGCUGUCACUUAUGGAUGGACCCGCGUCGCAUUAGCUAGUUGGUGAGGUAACGGCUCACCAAGGCAACGAUGCGUAGCCGACCUGAGAGGGUGAUCGGCCACACUGGGACUGAGACACGGCCCAGACUCCUACGGGAGGCAGCAGUAGGGAAUCUUCCGCAAUGGACGAAAGUCUGACGGAGCAACGCCGCGUGAGUGAUGAAGGCUUUCGGGUCGUAAAACUCUGUUGUUAGGGAAGAACAAGUGCUAGUUGAAUAAGCUGGCACCUUGACGGUACCUAACCAGAAAGCCACGGCUAACUACGUGCCAGCAGCCGCGGUAAUACGUAGGUGGCAAGCGUUAUCCGGAAUUAUUGGGCGUAAAGCGCGCGCAGGUGGUUUCUUAAGUCUGAUGUGAAAGCCCACGGCUCAACCGUGGAGGGUCAUUGGAAACUGGGAGACUUGAGUGCAGAAGAGGAAAGUGGAAUUCCAUGUGUAGCGGUGAAAUGCGUAGAGAUAUGGAGGAACACCAGUGGCGAAGGCGACU
rnacentral:rRNA from 1 species